rnacentral:rRNA from 1 species
UUAAAUUUUAUUUAUUAAUUUUUUUUGUUAUUUAUUAAUAUAUUAAAAAUAAUUAUAUAAUUUAAUGUUUUAGUAUUGUUUAAAGAAAAAAUAAUUUUAAUAAUAGUUUAAUAGUAUUGUGAAAGAAAGUUGAAAUAAUUUGAAAAAUUUUUAUUUUAAAAGAAAAUUUAAUUUAUUGUACCUUGUGUAUCAGUGUUUAUUAAAUAAAAAAUAUUUAUAUAUUUUUCUCGAUUUUAAAAGAGUUAAUAUAAUAUGAAAGUUAAUGUUGAAAAAUUAUUUUUAAUAUUAUAUUAGAAAUGAAAUGUUAUUCGUUUUUAAAGGUAUCUAGUUUUUUAAGAAAUAAAUUUAAUUUAGAAAUUAUAAAUUAAUUGAUUUAAUAAUAAAAUUAAUUAUUUAUAAUUUUAAUAUUUUAUGGGAUAAGCUAUAAAAUAAAUUUUUAAAAGUUGUAAAUAAAUUUAAUAAAUAUAUGUUUAGAAUUAGCAAUUAUUAAUAAAUAUGUUAUAAUUUAUUUUAUAAAAAAAUUAUUUAUUUAACUUUAAUUAUUUAUUAAAAUAUAAAUUUUAAUCUAAAAAAUUUAGUAAUAAUGAUAAAAUUAGUAUAUUAUAUUGUAUGUAUAAAUUUAAAUGAUAAGUUUUUAUAAAG